rfam:Gossypium raimondii Chr10_contig_1182, whole genome shotgun sequence.
UGUUAAAAAUUUCAUCUAUUUGUACUAUUAAAAAUUGGUGUGAGUAAUAGAAUAACAAGACAAUGACAUUCGACAUGUCAUGUAUACUUUAUACUAACGUAUAAUGACCAAUUUUUAAUGAUAGAAAUAGAUGAAAUUUUGAGCA